rnacentral:rRNA from 1 species
CAGUCGCCGCGGGAAUACGAAGGGUGCAAGCGUUACUGAAUUACUGGGCGUAAAGCGUGCGUAGGUGGUGGUUUAAGUCCGUUGUGAAAGCCCUGGGCUCAACCUGGGAAUUGCAGUGGAUACUGGGUCACUAGAGUGUGGUAGAGGAUAGUGGAAUUUCCGGUGUAGCAGUGAAAUGCGUAGAGAUCGGAAGGAACAUCUGUGGCGAAGGCGACUAUCUGGGCCAACACUGACACUGAGGCACGAAAGCGUGGGGAGCAAACAGGAUUAGAUACCCGCGUAGUCCCUGUCUCUUAUACAC